CCAGGGCCAACUUCUGAGUAUGUUCAUUUUGAAUUUCAGUGAAGGGUGUUAUCAUAUGUUUGUCCUAAGAGAAGCAGUGUGGAAGAUACUGCUUGGAUGGCUACUGAAUUCCCAGUGAUUCUGCAUUCCUUGGAAAUGGGCCUAGUGACCAGAGGAGGGACAGCUUGCAAUAUAUCUAAAAUGGAAAAGAGCUUGGUGCCUUCAAGGUACUGAUAGAAGAUGUACUGAUAGAAGAUAGAAGAUUCAACAUGUAGUUGGAUCAUUUUUAGAAUGGCUAGAGAUGAAGCUGGAAAG
rnacentral:lncRNA from 1 species